UAGGGAAUAUUGGUAAUGGGCGAAAGCCUGAACCAGCAACGCCGCGUGUGCGAUGAAGGCCUUCGGGUUGUAAAGCACUUUUUAAGAGGAUGAGGAAGGACAGUACUCUUAGAAUAAGCCUCGGCUAACUACGUGCCAGCAGCCGCGGUAACACGUAGGAGGCAAGCGUUAUUCGGAUUUACUGGGCGUAAAGCGCGUGCAGGCGGUUUGGUAAGUUGGAUGUGAAAGCUCCUGGCCUAACUGGGAGAGGUCGUUCAAUACUACCAGACUAGAGGAUGGGAGAGGGAGGUGGAAUUCCGGGUGUAGUGGUGAAAUGCGUAGAUAUCCGGAGGAACACCAGUGGCGAAAGCGGCCUCCUGGCCCAUUUCUGACGCUCAGACGCGAAAGCUAGGGUAGCAAACG
rnacentral:rRNA from 1 species